UUAAUACAAAACAGUUUUAAGGAAUAAAUUUCAAAAUAUUUACGGAAUGACAACACUAUUUAGAGGCACUUGCCGGAGUUACAGAUUAUCGUAUCUCAUCGUAUCGUAUCACAACUCCGACGACAAACAAGCUCGCCUCCUGCCGUGUUGUAUUCAAAUAUUAUCGUAUGUUCGAGAGUUGUGUUCACCAAAAUGACGUUAAAGGACAUUGGCUAACCCAUCUGGAAAAUCAGUAAAAAUAAACCGAUAAUACUCCGAAAAAUAUGUUUAUUAUGGACUAAUUUUUAUGUAUUUGGAAUAAGUAUACCAGCAGAUGCCUUCCUGAUUUUAAAUGGACUUACUAUUGAGACUACUGCACCUGAUGAUAGCCCAAACCCCCAAUAAAAAAUACUAUUGAGACUAUAAAAUUAAGUCUAUGCAUUACAUGCCCAUACCAAGACAAACGAUUGCUCUUCAACUUCCCCGACACUGGCGCUACUUUCAUACUUCCUCU